rnacentral:rRNA from 1 species
AGUGAACGCUGGCGGUAGGCCUAACACAUGCAAGUCGAACGGCAGCACAGUAAGAGCUUGCUCUUACGGGUGGCGAGUGGCGGACGGGUGAGGAAUACAUCUGAAUCUACUUUUUCGUGGGGGAUAACGUAGGGAAACUUACGCUAAUACCGCAUACGACCUACGGGUGAAAGCAGGGGAUCUUCGGACCUUGCGCGAUUGAAUGAGCCGAUGUCGGAUUAGCUAGUUGGCGGGGUAAAGGCCCACCAAGGCGACGAUCCGUAGCUGGUCUGAGAGGAUGAACAGCCACACUGGAACUGAGACACGGUCCAGACUCCCACGGGAAGGAAGAGGUGGGAAUAUUUGACAAUGGGCGCAAGCCUGAUCCAACCAUACCGCGUGGGUGAAGAAGGCCUUCGGGUUGUAAAGCCCUUUUGUUGGGAAAGAAAAGCAGCAGGUUAAUACCCCGCUGUUCUGACGGUACCCAAAGAAUAAGCACCGGCUAACUUCGUG